rnacentral:lncRNA from 1 species
GCUGGGGAGUCAGGAGUCGCAGGAGGAAGAGCAUCGGAGGAGAAGUGGAGAGAUGUCCACCCUGAGCUGGUGGCGCCUCCGGGCGCCUAGUUCAGUGUGGGUGAACUAGACAGCCGACCCUGGUCGGUGUGUGCGCAGAGUGCAGUGCUCCCGGGAGCUUUACCUUUUUGAUCUAUCCUUCUUGGGACAACUGGAAGGAAGGCUAACUAGGUCCCCCAACAGCUAGGUGGCUCUGGUCCAGUUUG